AAAUUGAAGAGUUUGAUCAUGGCUCAGAUUGAACGCUGGCGGCAGGCCUAACACAUGCAAGUCGAACGGUAACAGGAAGCAGCUUGCUGCUUUGCUGACGAGUGGCGGACGGGUGAGUAAUGUCUGGGAAACUGCCUGAUGGAGGGGGAUAACUACUGGAAACGGUGGCUAAUACCGCAUAACGUCGCAAGACCAAAGAGGGGGACCUUCGGGCCUCUUGCCAUCAGAUGUGCCCAGAUGGGAUUAGCUUGUUGGUGAGGU
rnacentral:rRNA from 1 species